rnacentral:rRNA from 1 species
GACGAACGCUGGCGGCGUGCCUAAUACAUGCAAGUCGAGCGGACGGAUGGGAGCUUGCUCCCAGACCGUCAGCGGCGGACGGGUGAGUAACACGUGGGCAACCUGCCCGUAAGACUGGGAUAACUCCGGGAAACCGGGGCUAAUACCGGAUAACUCUUUCCCUCACAUGAGGGAAAGCUGAAAGAUGGCAUCUCGCUAUCACUUACAGAUGGGCCCGCGGCGCAUUAGCUAGUUGGUGAGGUAACGGCUCACCAAGGCGACGAUGCGUAGCCGACCUGAGAGGGUGAUCGGCCACACUGGGACUGAGACACGGCCCAGACUCCUACGGGAGGCAGCAGUAGGGAAUCUUCCGCAAUGGACGAAAGUCUGACGGAGCAACGCCGCGUGAGUGAUGAAGGUUUUCGGAUCGUAAAACUCUGUUGUCAGGGAAGAACAAGUACCGGAGUAACUGCCGGUACCUUGACGGUACCUGACCAGAAAGCCACGGCUAACUACGUG